rnacentral:rRNA from 1 species
GACGAACCGAGCGAACGUUGUUCGGAAUCACUGGGCUUAAAGGGCGCGUAGGCGGGUGCUCAAGUCCGGGGUGAAAUCCUCCAGCUCAACUGGAGAACUGCCUCGGAUACUGGGUGUCUCGAGGGUGAUAGGGGUAUGCGGAACUAUCGGUGGAGCGGUGAAAUGCGUUGAUAUCGAUAGGAACUCCGGUGGCGAAGGCGGCAUACUGGAUCACUUCUGACGCUGAGGCGCGAAAGCCAGGGGAGCGAACGGG